UUCGGCGUUCACCACAACUUGUGGUGGUGACUGCCAAGUGCCAAGCUGUGCCCGCUUAUUCUUCUCAUACUUCCUCGCUUCACCCACACAACACCUCUCGCGCGAUGGCGGCGUCGCUGCUGCCUUUCCGUUCCUACUGCUCGCCUCCCGCCGUCGCUUCCUCCACCUCCGGCAAGGAGUUGUCGUCCUGUCAAGCUAUUAAUUUUGUCAGUGCUUACUUUCCAAAAUAUGGCCGAAAGCAAAGGUUUUGUAAGACGGUCCGCAAAGUUAGUGCUGUUGCAGUGCCUUCCACAGAGGAACUCAAAGAGUAUUCUCUACCUACUUGGUCUGAAUUUGAACUAGGGAUGGCUCCUGUGUUCUGGAAAACCAUGAACGGCCUUCCUCCUACUUCUGGAGAGACUAUAACACUCUUCUACAAUCCUGCUGCAAAUAAUUUGUUUCCAAAUGAUGAAUAUGGGAUUGCAUUUAAUGGUGGAUUUAAUCAGCCUAUCAUGUGUGGUGGUGAGCCAAGAGUAAUGACAAGGAAAAAUCGUGGGAAAGCCGACCCUCCGAUAUUUACCAUUAAGAUACGUGUUCCUAAACAUGUUUCAAAUUGUGCAGCUGUUAGCCUGAGUUUUUCGUUCACAAAUGGAGUUGACUGGGAUGGUCCAUACAGACUGCAGUUUCAACUUUUAAAGAUGUGGCGAAACAAACCAAUAAGCUUUUUCAAUGAGAAUCAUCUCAUGGUCAUAUCUGCUCGUGAAUGGUGUGAUGACCAAGUGAAAUCCACGCAUGACACCAUAUAUUGGCAGAUGGAAUGUUUUGAAAGUAAUGCAUACACAGGGUCUGGCAGAAGAAUUGAGUGUAGAAGGUGCCUGUGACAGAGCAGUUUUUCCAGAUUCAAACAAUGUGAUUGCAAGUUGUGCAAUUGGCAACUUGUACUCUGAAGGAGGAAACCGCUGCAAGUUGAACCUUGUCCCAGGCUGCACGGAUCCAAGCUCGCCAUUGUUUGAUCCUUUAGCAAAUGUGGAUGAUGGGUCUUGCCCAUUGGACUCUGAUUCAGAACAAGAAUAAUAUAGUCCACUGAGUAGUCAACAGUUCAGGUAAAAUGUAAGCAGAAUUUAAGUGCACUAGUCAGAACUGAUUGGGAAGUGAAACUUUGAGAUCUGCAAAAGAUGUAUAUACAAAUUCUGCUUGGACAUUACAUUGUUUAUGCAGCAGCUUUGAUUCUUUCAACACAGUUGAUAAUCUUCUUCUUUAUUAUUAUUAUUAUUA